rnacentral:lncRNA from 1 species
UUAUAUUUUCAAAAUUAUAAAAGAGUUUUUACUUCUAAUUUUUAGCUUUUAAAUUAAAAAUUAUACAGUUGGGAUGAUAGUGACCCAUUUACGAUUAAGUGAUCUCCUUAGGAUUGAAUGGUUUUCACAGAAUAAUAAUAUUAGGGCGUGUUUGGUUCACUUCUUUUUUAUUUUGGAAUCGGAAUCGGAAUCGAAAUGACGAAUUCGUUUGUGGGUGUUUGGUACGUGGGAGUCUCAUUCCGAUUUCGAUUCCGAUUCCUGAGUAGAAUGGAAAUCUCCCAAUCACCUCUUUUUCCAAUUCGGCCUAGAAGGCCGGAUUGAAAGUUGAAUCCGGACGGAAUGGAUAUUUAUUUGGAUUAAAUUUAUUUUUUUAAAUUUUUUAAUUAAAAUAUGAGUAUAAAUUUAGAAAUUAAAUUUUAAAAUUUAAAUUUUAAUUUGAACUUGAAUUAAAAAUUAAAAUUUAAUUUGAAUCUAACUUAUGAAUUUGAACUUAAAUCAAAUUUUAAUUCAUACAAAAUUUUAUUCAAAUUUUAUUUAAAAUUUAAAUUAAAUUUAUGGAUUCAAAUUAAAAUUUAAAUUGUAAUUUUAAGUUUGAAUUUGAAUAAAUUUUAAUUUAGUUUUAUAUUUCGAAUUAUCCACUCAGCUUCAAAGUUUAAUUUUUUAAACAAAAUAGAUUAAAAUUUUGACAUUAUUUCAAAAUUUUGAUGUAAAUUUUUAAUAUUUAAUAUUUAAUUUGAAUUUAAAUUAAUAUAUUAUAAAGAUAAAGUUAAUAUAUUAAUCGAUCUGAUUAUGUUUUUUAUAUUUAUCUGAACCAAACACCGACAAUGGGAAUGAUUUAUUCCAAUUCCGAUUCAGGUGAUGAAUCAAACAGAAUUAGGUAAUGAGUUAUUCUGAUUCCGAUUUUAGCUUAUUUUGAUUUCGAUUCUGAUUCCGAUUUCGACUUCGAACUAAACAUGCCCUUAAUCCAAAGAUUAAAAAUAAUUAAAAAGGUUGACCCAAGGGCCAAUAAGUGGAAUGUACAACUCUUUUAUACAUCCGAAAGUAUAGUAGCUCUACUAAUCUAUUAAUAUAUUACAUCAUAAAUUUAAAAUAUAAUUCAAUAAAGCGAUCUAACUUUAUAAAAAUUAUAUGUAUAAAUAAUUACAAAAUUUAAAUUUUUAAAUAGAAUUUUAAAAAUAAGAUAUAUAAGAUAUACUUAUACAUCUCUAAUUUCUUUUCUAUUGUCUAAUCUUCCUUCUUCUCAGCUAAAAAGAAUUAUUGCCUGCACCAAGUUUAUAAGCCUGUAACAUACACCAAACUUUAGUUUUUUUAAUAACUAGUAUUGUAAAAUUUAAAUUUAAUUCGAUAGAUAUGAUUUACCAUAUAAAAUAGUUGGUAUAUAAAAAAUUAUAAUAUUUAAAUUUUUAUAAUGUAAUUUUAAAACUAUGGUUUAGAAGAUGUACUUUUACACCUCGUGUGCAAACCAAUUUCUUCUCCACUAUCCCAUUUUUCUAUUAUUUUAUUAUUUUUUAAAAAUUAUUUUAAUAGCUUUUAUUUCUAAUUCUAUUCCACAUAUAUCUUUAUAAAAUAAUUUAAUUAUUAAUAACUCUUACAUUUUUCUUACAUCUUUAACGUCGUCUAUUUUGUUAUCAAACUUUUUAAAAAUUAUUUUAAUUAUAUUAUUUUUUAUUUUUAA